GUUAACUUUUGGCGGCGUGCCUAACACAUGCAAGUCGAACGCGUUCCGGGGGCAACUCCGGGAUGAGUGGCGAACGGGUGAGUAACUCGGGGGUAAUCUUCCUUCAAGUGGGGAAUAAGCUCUCGAAAGGGAGUCUAAUACCGCAUGACGUUCCGGGACUUAAGUCCCGUAACCAAAGCCGUAAGGCGCUUGGAGAUGAGCCUGCGUCCUAUUAGCUAGUUGGUGGGGUAAUGGCCUACCAAGGCUGAGAUGGGUAGCCGGCCUGAGAGGGUGAACGGCCACACUGGGACUGAGACACGGCCCAGACUCCUACGGGAGGCAGCAGUGAGGAAUUUUGCGCAAUGGGGGAAACCCUGACGCAGCGACGCCGCGUGGAGGACGAAGGCCUUCGGGUCGUAAACUCCUGUCAGAGGUGAAGAAUGCCCGCAAGGGUUUGACGGUAACCUCAGAGGAAGCCCCCGGCUAACUACGUGCCAGCAGCCGCGGUAAUACGUAGGGGGCAAACGUUACUCGGAAUUACUGGGCGUAAAGGGUGCGUAGGCGGCUGGGAAAGUCAAGGAUGAAAUCCCGUGGCUCAACUGCGGAACUGUCCUUGAAACUUCUCAGCUUGAGGAUAAUCGAAGAGAACGGAAUUCCCGGUGGAGCGGUGAAAUGCGUAGAUAUCGGGAGGAACACCUGAGGCGAAAGCGGUUCUCUAGACUACUCCUGACGCUGAGGCACGAAAGCUAGGGGAGCAAACGGGAUUAGAUACCCCGGUAGUCCUAGCCAUCAACGAUGGAUACU
rnacentral:rRNA from 1 species